rnacentral:rRNA from 1 species
AGAGUUUGAUCCUGGCUCAGAUUGAACGCUGGCGGCAGGCCUAACACAUGCAAGUCGAGCGGAAACGAGUUAUCUGAACCUUCGGGGAACGAUAACGGCGUCGAGCGGCGGACGGGUGAGUAAUGCCUAGGAAAUUGCCCUGAUGUGGGGGAUAACCAUUGGAAACGAUGGCUAAUACCGCAUAAUGCCUACGGGCCAAAGAGGGGGACCUUCGGGCCUCUCGCGUCAGGAUAUGCCUAGGUGGGAUUAGCUAGUUGGUGAGGUAAUGGCUCACCAAGGCGACGAUCCCUAGCUGGUCUGAGAGGAUGAUCAGCCACACUGGAACUGAGACACGGUCCAGACUCCUACGGGAGGCAGCAGUGGGGAAUAUUGCACAAUGGGCGCAAGCCUGAUGCAGCCAUGCCGCGUGUGUGAAGAAGGCCUUCGGGUUGUAAAGCACUUUCAGUCGUGAGGAAGGUAGUGUAGUUAAUAGCUGCAUUAUUUGACGUUAGCGACAGAAGAAGCACCGGCUAACUCCGUGCCAGCAGCCGCGGUAAU